UAGCGAUCAUUGUGUUUAUACUGGGAUUCUGUCUGUACAAGAGACGUAAACAGAAGAGUCCAAUGGCCGUACCCGCAGGAGGCGACCCCCAAAGCAGCACCGACACAUGUGAGUGAUAUCUUCCCC